GAAUAAAUUUAGUGCUGGGUUGGCAUAAGGUGGUACCAUGUAACAUUUUAACCCAUAGUACGACCCAUGCCGACUCAGUAAUAAAUUACAAU
rnacentral:pre_miRNA from 1 species